UUCAUCAGUGACGAGUUCAGUACCACCCCAGUCUCAUCACUAUGACUGAAAGGUAUUUUCUGAGCUGUG